rnacentral:rRNA from 1 species
UACGUAGGUGGCGAGCGUUAUCCGGAAUUACUGGGUGUAAAGGGAUCGCAGGCGGGGCGACAAGUCAGCUGUGAAAACUAUGGGCUUAACUCAUAGACUGCAGUUGAAACUGUUGCUCUUGAGUGGAGUAGAGGCAAGCGGAAUUCCGAGUGUAGCGGUGAAAUGCGUAGAUAUUCGGAGGAACACCAGUGGCGAAGGCGGCUUGCUGGGCUCUAACUGACGCUGAGGCUCGAAAGUGUGGGGAGCGAACAGGAUUA